rnacentral:lncRNA from 1 species
UUACUUUAUUUGGAUAUAUCGGCCUUGUAAUAUCGAAUAUAGUAUUUGUGGUUUUCAGGUGGAUUUAUGAAAAUGAUUUUCUACCUCUCGUGGUAACCUAUUUUUAAAAGAAAAAGAUUUUCAUGUGGAAAACAGUUUUAAAAAGGAUUUUUUGCUUUUCAUGAUUCUAUUAUUUAAAAAUGAGUUUCUGGGUGGGAAACGUUUUAAAUUAAUAGAUACGAAUUUACGAAUGAAACAUUGUAAUCUUGUGAUGUGACAAAUGUUCGGGAAAACCACAACGAAAAUUCGAUUGUGAGUAAAAUCUAACUAGUCUUGUGAUGAAAAUAAAUAAAUCAACUUACAGAUAAUUGCUAAAUUCCAAAUAAAAACAUUAAUUUGCUCCGGAAGCGUGCGAGGCACUGCCCUAAGGCGUAUUUUCGUCCUUCAUGCGGGAUUAAAUGGAAACACUGUCCCAAGGUACAACCGGGAUUCCUCUUCCGACGGACACGAAUGCAGAAGAGAUUGACGAAGAUUCUUUCAACACCCGAUGAUAAAAAGAUCAAACAAAAUAAAAUAAAAUAAAAAUUUAAAUAAAAUUUCUCCUUUU